GAAGGGGGAAAAAAUUACUUUUAUGUAAGUGGAAUUGGAAAGAAAUAGAUUGACUUCGUCGAGUAUUAUGUUUGCAGUGACACCGUGACUACUCUGACAAUUAGUUUUAAUUAAACAGAUCGUCAAUGAACAAGCAGGAAACGUUUCUCUACAUUUAUCCAAGUGUAAGGACCAAAUAUUAAUAUGUAUAAAUGUUACAAACAAAAUGGAUUUUGUAUAUUCCGGUCAUGCGACUUAUGUUUCUGUACUAAAUAUAAAUCGUGACUGAAAAAAACAAUAAAAAGCUGAUGUUUCAAACAAAAUCGACAGCUUCGUGACUUGAUUGCUGAUAUAAUACGAAAAUCUGCAUGAUACCAACACUGGUAUUUCCAUCGUAAAAUGUCAAGAUUAGGUGUGCCGGGUUCAAGCAUAAAUUUGUGUCA